AGCGGCUGCGGCCAAGGCCCAGUUUGACAAGUUCGUGUUGGACAAGACGGAGGAGAAAGCGGCCUUUGACCUGGUGCUGGAAAAGACGGCGGCUGAGGCGGCGGCACAGAAGGCCAUUGCUGACAAGGCGUUAGUUGACUUCGGCGAGCUGCAGGUAUUGUGCUUGGGGAAGGGUCUCGCGUACUUCGAGGAGGUCUGGAUUGAUAAUCACCCCAAAUUCUGCUGCUCACGAGCAGGAGUCUUCAACGGCUGCUAAGGCCCAGUUUGACAAGUUCGUAUUGGACAAGGCGGAGGAGAAAGCGGCCUUUGACUUGGUGCUGGAGAAGACGACGGCUGAGGCGGCGGCACAGAAGGCCAUUGCUGACAAGGCGUUAGUGGACUUCGGCGAGCUGCAGGUAUUGUGCUUGGGGAAGGGUCUCGCGUACUUCGAGGAGGUCUGGAUUGAUAAUCACCCCAAAUUCUGCUGCUCACGAGCAGGAGUCUUCAACUGCCGCCAAGGCCCAGUUUGACAAGUUCGUGUUGGACAAGGCGGAGGAGAAAGCGGCCUUUGAUCUGGUGCUGGAGAAGACCACAGCUGAGGCGGCGGCACAGAAGGCCAUUGCUGACAAGGCGUUAGUGGACUUCGGCGAGCUGCAGGUAUUGUGCUUGGGGAAGGGUCUCGCGUACUUCGAGGAGGUCUGGAUUGAUAAUCACCCCAAAUUCUGCUGCUCACGAGCAGGAGUCUUCAACUGCCGCCAAGGCCCAGUUUGACAAGUUCGUGUUGGACAAGGCGGAGGAGAAAGCGGCCUUUGAUCUGGUGCUGGAGAAGACGACAGCUGAGGCGGCGGCACAGAAGGCCAUUGCUGACAAGGCGUUAGUGGACUUCGGCGAGCUGCAGGUAUUCUGCUUGGGAAAGGGUCUCGCGUACUUCGAGGAGGUCUAUUAUUGAUAAUUAACCCAAAAUUGGCUGCUCACGAGCAGGAGUCUUCAACUGCCGCCAAGGCCCAGUUUGACAAGUUCGUGUUGGACAAGGCGGAGGAGAAAGCGGCCUUUGACUUGGUGCUGGAGAAGACGACGGCUGAGGCGGCGGCACAGAAGGCCAUUGCUGACAAGGCGUUAGUGGACUUCGGCGAGCUGCAGGUAUUCUGCUUGGGAAAGGGUCUCGCGUACUUCGAGAAGGUUUGUUUUGAUAAUUAACCCAAAAUUGGCUGCUCACGAGCAGGAGUCUUCAACUGCUGCUAAGGCCCAGUUUGACAAGUUCGUGUUGGACAAGGCGGAGGAGAAAGCGGCCUUUGAUCUUGGUGCUGGAGAAGACGACAGCUGAGGCGGCGGCACAGAAGGCCAUUGCUGACAAGGCGUUAGUGGACUUCGGCGAGCUGCAGGUAUUGUGCUUGGGAAAGGGUCUCGCGUACUUCGAGGAGGUCUGUUUUGAUUAUCACCCCAAAUAUUGCUGCUCACAAGCAGGAGUCUUCAACGGCUGCCAAGGCCCAGUUUGACAAGUUCGUGUUGGACAAGGCGGAGGAGAAAGCGGCCUUUGACUUGGUGCUGGAGAAGACGACAGCUGUGGCGGCGGCACAGAAGGCCAUUGCUGACAAGGCGUUAGUGGACUUCGGCGAGCUGCAGGUAUUCUGCUUGGGAAAGGGUCUCGCGUACUUCGAGAAGGUUUGUUUUGAUUAUUAACCCAAAAUUGGCUGCUCACAAGCAGGAGUCUUCAACGGCUGCUAAGGCCCAGUUUGACAAGUUCGUGUUGGACAAGGCGGAGGAGAAAGCGGCCUUUGACCUGGUGCUGGAGAAGACGACAGCUGAGGCGGCGGCACAGAAGGCCAUUGCUGACAAGGCGUUAGUGGACUUCGGGGAGCUGCAGGUUAGCGCAUGCACAUCUGGUCCAGGGUUUCGUAUGCAGGUCAACCUUUCUUGACCAUGUUGAAUAUUGAUUAGUAUCCGCGUGUGCUUAUUCCCGACGCUUUAGUGCCUUCACUGCUUGCGGUGUGUUCGCGCUGAUGUGCCGGAUUACCGGGCGUUUUAUCCUUAUCCCGCUCGCUGUCUGCAUCAUACUGGUAUGGUCCUUUCCCUCAGCAUUUGCCCAUUACCGAGGCUGAGGUUGGCGGUUAGUAGUAGGCACAGCGGGAAAGCGAUGCCCCUUUCACACCUGGGAAGUGUCGAUUCGUGCGCAUUUCGUGCUGCCGUAGGAGUCCGCCGCAACCACCAAGUCCCAGUUCGACAAGUUCGUGGCGGACAAGGCUGAGGAGAAAGCUGUCUUUGAUCACCUUCUGGAACAGACAGUGGCAGAGGUUGCGGCACAUAAGGCCAUUGCCGACAAGGCGCUGGUGGAUAUGGACGAAAUGCAGGUGAGAGGUCAACAAGUCUUUGGAUUUUUUCGGCACGGGAUUAUGGCUACGGGUGAACAAGAUUAGAUGCAAGGGAGACCUGGCACAUUGGCCGCUUAAGUAGUCACCGCAUCUGUGACAUUGGGAAAGGCCGAGAGGUGCCUGCUUCGCACUGUGUGUCUUCAGGUCUCAUCACUCCCGGCAUUCAUGUAGCCCCAUAUGGGCCUGCUUAAGGGUUCUGCCUCACGUGCAUUAGGGUUUUAUUCCCUAGAGAAGAGUGUGAUAAGAGUCGCCGCUUUUUGUGGCCGUCCCUUUCUGCGUGUAGCAAGCCGCCACGUGCACCAAGGCCCAGUUUGACAAGUUCGUGUUGGACAAGACGGAGGAGAAAGCGGCCUUUGACCUGGUGCUGGAGAAGACGACAGCUGAGGCGGCGGCGCAGAAGGCCCUUGCUGACAAGGCGUUAGUGGAUUUCUCCGAGCAAAAAGCCAUCGCCGAUAAGGCUCUAGUAGACUUUAGCGAGCUGCAGGUGAGUAGCUAACAAACGGCGAACAUGGGAUUGAAACCUCGCUGGCAGCUGGAUGACAAAGUCGGAGUCAUUUGGCAGGUUCUCCGUCGCGCCAGGCAUCGCCUGGCGUCCCUCGAUGUCUCCUGUUAAAGUGAUCCAUAUUCAACCCAUUGUCCGAGGUGUACCGAAGACCACACAGUCGGCAUUACCCGUCUCCUUGGGUCCGGCCUGCCGUUACCAGGUUGCCGGCAGAAAGGGUGAAUGCAUGCACAUGUAUGUGCGCACGCACGCACGCUCUUUACGGCCGCGGUUGCGAUCUAUCCUCUUUCUUACUCCUUAACCGAAGGCCUCUGCGGAAGCUGACAAGGCGGGCCAUGACAAGGUGCUGCUGGACCUUGCGG
rnacentral:lncRNA from 1 species